GGAUAAGAAACAGAGAAUAUGACCUUUUUUAACUUUAAGAAAUGCUGCUUAUAAAUAUCCCUAUGAUGGGCCAAGCAUGAUGGUGCACGCCUGUAAUCCGAGCACUUUGGGAGGCCAAGGUCAACUGAAGAAGAAGCUCAGCAGAAGGUGCAUGUGGAUCUUCAAAUGAAAGGUUUGCAAAUCCCAUCUCAUCCUCAUCAUAGCCAGCAUAUUAUUCUCGGUUCUGGGAGCCACCAUCAAAAAAAGAAAAAAAAAAAAAAAAACGUUGAAAAAUUUGACCUGUAUUCCAGGAAGGUGAAGCAACUGCCUGAAGGUUGGUUCUGAUGCUCAAAUCACUUAAAAGAUUGUCUUCAACCUAAGACUAGUGGUUACAUAAUGAAAAACAUGAAAGAAAAAUAGGAGAACAUAAAUAUCAACUAAAUAAUGAAUCAGCAAAAGAAACAUCCAUUGAGUGUCUUCUAGUGGAGACCAAUGACUGGACUCUGCUGGCUUGUAAACCAGAACCAAAUUCUAUUAAUGGGGCUCCUGUGACUUCUGAUGAUUCUCCCAUGGUGCAGGCAGGACAGUGCCACAGUGGAGGCACCAGGGACAUCGUGUCUCAGCCAUGAAAUGGACUGCUCCAAAUUGCCCUGCACACACCAGAGGCCAGAGACCAUGAUGUUAAUUACAGUGCAUGGUGACAAUCAAUUGCACUAGUCAAGAUGGAGCACCUGCCCAGCCCAGCUUGUGUCCAGUCCUGCUCAGUUCCAGGCUACCAGGAGGGGAUGGAACAGGACGGCUCACCUCCCUUCACAGACAGGGACCUGAGCAUGUCUACUAAGGAACGGAAAGACAUUUUUUCCUUCACUCCGGCCAAAUGCCUUUCCUCAUGGAGCUUAGGGUCACCUUCAGAAUUCUCACUGGUUCUUGUCAUACAUUCAGCCUCCUUUCAGGGAGAUAACAAUAGUAAUGUCCACGUCUUCCAGGGAAAGCCAAUUCUUCCCAGUGAUUAAAACAUUA